rnacentral:rRNA from 1 species
AUUGAACGCUGGCGGCAUGCCUUACACAUGCAAGUCGAACGGCAGCACGGGUGCUUGCACCUGGUGGCGAGUGGCGAACGGGUGAGUAAUACAUCGGAACGUACCUUAUCGUGGGGGAUAACGCAGCGAAAGUUGCGCUAAUACCGCAUACGCCCUGAGGGGGAAAGCGGGGGACCGUAAGGCCUCGCGCGAUUAGAGCGGCCGAUGUCUGAUUAGCUUGUUGGUGAGGUAAAAGCUCACCAAGGCGAUGAUCAGUAGCUGGUCUGAGAGGACGAUCAGCCACACUGGGACUGAGACACGGCCCAGACUCCGACGGGAGGCAGAAGUGGGGAAUUUUGGACAAUGGGGGCAACCCUGAUCCAGCAAUGCCGCGUGAGUGAAGAAGGCCUUCGGGUUGUAAAGCUCUUUUGUAAGGGAAGAAACAGCAGCUCUAACACAGUCUGCGAAUGACGGUACCUGAAGAAUAAGCACCGGCUAACUACGUG